UGUUUUUGAGAGAGACAGAGUGCGAGCAGGGGAGGGGCAGUGCGAGAGGGAGACACAGAAUCCGAAGCAGGCUCCGGGCUCCGGGCUGUCAGCACAGAGCCCGACCCGGGGCUCGAACCCACAAACAGCGAGAUCACGACCUGCGCUGAAGUCGACGCUUAACCGACUGAGCCAGCCAGGCGCCCCAUUGUUUCUGUAGGCCUUUGGGCUUCACAGGAGGGCAGUGUGCAGUGGACAGAGGGAACCCAGAAACACCCUGGACCCCCAGCGAGCCAGAAGCAGGCCGUGCCGGCUGCAGAAGCCCUCCCACGACCCGCCCUGGGAAAAUGUGGGAAGACGUUGCCCUGACCAGAGCACCCAGGAAGGGCUCCCAUGGUUCAUUGCUUGCACGUGGAGAACACUCUGGGGUCCCUCCCGGGAAGAUCCAAGCCUCUGCUGAAUUCCACAUUCCCCGUCGACGUACCCCGAGGUGAUUCCGGAACCGUCACCUUUUUAGGCCUCUCCGUGUUGACUUCCCUCUAUCGCCAUCGCCAACAGCUGGCGUGUUCCACAAGGUAAAGAAAUUCUUCGGUUGCUGAAAUCACUCCGGGAGAAUUCUAAGUCCCCAGCAAGGGGGUGGAGACUGUGCUCAGGGGCGGGUGGCCACUUAUCAGACAGAAGUCCCAGCCCCGUCCCUGCCGGCCACCCUCCUUCCCAUGAAGGACACUCAGUGUCCACACCAGGCUUCCACCCUCCCCGCUGCUGGAGGUGCGGUGACUUUUGAACUUGGGGAGUUUGGAAAGGAUAGCGGGGAAGGCUUCGCUCAGCCCUGUCCUCUUCGCCAGGAAAGGGAGCUGCCCGCAGCCCUUGGGGUUGCCUUUGCCUCCGUAGAUAAAGCAUCCAGUUCUGCGGUUUAGUGAACAGGGUCAUGUGUGGCCCCUUAAUUUCUUAACAUCCUCAGAACCAGAGAAGAUAAGGGGACAGGUGGGGAGGGCAAGGGUGCUUUUUUCUCUUCCGAUGAUGCUGAGCACCAGAAAACUGAGGUCGGCCAGAAAUGCCACGGAAGUUUAGAGGAGGGGCGGGCAGUUCCAAGCACCUGCUACGUUCAGACACCGUCAUCAUGGUGGGGCCCUGGUUGGGCCUUUCCCACAAGCAGGCGGGUUUCAUGGGCCACCUCACCUGACGCUCCCAUAGAUGGAGGUGUUCUUACCUCCGUUUGCAGAUGAGGAAGCCAAGCACCGUUCCAGCUGCCUGGACCCAGGAGUCCAGUCUUUCUAAGCAGAAAAGGAUGUCCUCACGGGGGAGCUGGGCCUUCACUGCGGAUGGGGUGCAGACCAGCAGAGAGGGGAGAGGGUGAGACUGCCCGAGGCGUGUCUGGACCAGUGAGUCCCCCGUGAGGCUUGAAUGGGAGACUUGGGGCAGAAAGAGGGUCCCCAGAAACGCAGCAGGAAGCCUUGGAGUUAGGCAAGGCCUCUGGCACUUUCUAACCCAGCCUCUCACCUGUGGAGAGAGUUUUCCUUAUUCUCUGGUCCCUGUGGCUGUGGUCCCUGGCCCCCGGGAGCUGCCCUCGCAGGGCUGAAUAUGAAGGCCACUCAGGCCAUGCGUCCCCAGCUCCAUCAGGGGGCUCCCAGGAUGGUCCCCCUUGUGGGACACGUUGCAGAGACUUCUUGUUCUCUGGGGCAGAAAUCUGCCUCGUGGCAGCCUCUCCUCACCCGGGGAUGCCCCACAGAGCCCAAGGGAAAGGCCGACUCUAUUAUAAUAUAGCACAACUUCCUAUCUCUUUCUUCCUACCAGACGUUUCCGGUUUCUCUAACUCUUCUCUGGCAAGGCUUCUGCUGACCCCCCUGACACUGAAGCCUGGCUACCAAGCUGGCUCAAACUUGAGCCUCCGGGAUGUCCAUGAGCCCUCCCGACAGACUCCUUCCUUUUCCCCCCCAUCUUUUCUUUGCCAUUGGCAGUGUGUGUCACAGUCCCGCGUACAUAAGAGAUGUUUGAUAGACGCUUGGCAAACUGCUUUGACGUCGUCCACGUGGCCAGUUUGUCAAAGGUCACGCCUCUAAGGUCAGAGCUCUUCCCACAAAUGUUGGGUGAUGCCUGCGCGGUGCCCAGUGUCGCGACAGGCGCCCGGACCCAUCGGCACAUAGAGCCCGCACACGUGUCACGGUGGUAGCCUAGCCACAGCUCAUGUUUGCUUAGCCCUGUAUAUCCUACAGAGUCUUUCUUCCGUAUUUAUCUUAGUCGAUUCCAUGGCAACCUGAUGAUUUACAGGUGAGAAGGCUGAGGUCCAGCACGAUCUGCUGAUGAAGGUUAUAGAGCUAUUCGGUCACACGGAAAGGCACUUCUCGGGUCUUCUGGGGACACCUAACCCUGCGCUCCACCUCGACUCAUCAAGGUCUCCUCUAGAGCUCUGGGGAAUAACUAGGUUAUCCCGCGGUCCUCAUCUUGCCUUCGCGGGAAAGUUCUGAUUUAAUUUAAAAACUCCCUUUGGUAUUGAAGUAUAAUUGACAUACAAUGUUAUAUCCAUUGCAGGUGCACAGCCUAGUGAUUCGAACUACCUUCCCUACCUUAUUUCAUGCUCACCACGAUAAACGUAGUUACCGUCUGCCACUCGAUUUUACUUUUUGCCCUGCCCCCUACCCCGGGUCAAAGCAAUGUUUAUUCAAGAAUUAUCUGCCCCCCUCCAAAAAGAGAAAAAGAGAGAGAGAGAGAGAGAGAGAGAGAGAGGACAAUGCCAAGAGAAUGCAGAACCCCGAAACGGCUGCUGAACAUCAGCAGUGUUCAUCUCAAAGAUUACUCAACUGAGGGUUUAGUAUGUAAUUCCAGCAGCAGAAAAGAAGAACUGUACUGAACUUGAUAACUUUCUGAAAACUUGCAGAGCAGCGAGCCUGUUUAAAAGGGGAAGCCGUCUUGUGUCCUACCUUCCCAAUGCCUCUGAUCAGGCGGCUUCUCCAUUUCGUGCGUGGCAAGACCUAAGCUGUCCCCGGGUGCAGAAAGGACUUUGCUAAAGUCACAGUCAUCCACACUUGGCCUUUUGUACCUCAUCAGUCAGCAUGCCCACGGCUGGGCCCAUCGUAUGUUCUCUGUGCCUUCAUAAAUUCUCAACUACUGAGGACAUGACCGCUCCAAGUUAGCCAUUUCGCGUGUAUCGAUGUUGACUUCGUAAGAAACAGUCCGUGAAAAUAGAACUUGCAUAUACGUGUGUACAUACAUCUACAUAGUGCAGUUGUAUAUAUACAUGUGUAUUUUAAGUGUUCAUUGAAAAUCCACCCUAAGUCAGGCUAUGAUGAUGAAUCAGUGAAUCAAAUGAUUUGGUCUUCGUGUCUGGAUCUACAAGGUUGACUGUUUUUCCUAGACCUGUCCUAGAGGAUAGGGGUAGAAAUCCCUCCUAAUCUUUUGGGAAACCUUGGAUUGAUGCGGGUGGAAGUUAACAGUUGUUUGACUGGUGUUUAGAGGGAGGGUGAUGGGAGUAUGGGGACUUUGGUACACGGAAGUGAUAGGGGUAUUUGUAGCUCUUUUCAGACGGUGGUGAUGAUUACAUUGAACCAGGUAGGCUGAGUUAUUUCUCUUGGGGCAAGAAUCGUAUGACUCAACAAGAAAAAAGCAGAUGUACCCAGCAUAAAAUGGGUAAAGGGCACCGCCAGAUAAUUCACAGAAAAGGAAAUAUGGAUGAUUACCAAUUACAGUUUUAAAAAAUGCUCAGUAAUUAAACAAAUAUUAGUUACACAAUAAUGACGUCUCUUUUGCCCAUAUACAUGGCCAAUUUUUUUUUCUUUUCUGUCUUCUUGGUGUUGAUGGAUGCUUGCUGAGAUUAGAGCCAUCACCUACUACUGCCCAGAAUAUAUACAUCGCUGAACACUUUCUGGAAGCAAUUUGACAAAACGCAUCAAGAGACUUAGAAAACAGGUAGAAAUUGUGCUUUGGGAAACCUACUCUAGGGAAAUAAUUUUAAAAAAUACAAAGAUGUUUAUUACAGUAUUAUUUAUGAAAGUGUAAAUCUGAAACAACUUAAUCGCACACCAAUAAGACAAUGAUUAAAUAGCCAUGAAUAUCUAUACAAUAUGUUGGUGUCUUUUCAAGUUAUAUUUCCUUUAUUUAAAAAAAUUUUUAAUGUUUAUUUUUGAGAGAGAGAGAGAGAGCACAAGCAGGUGAGGGACAGAGAGAGAGAGGGAAGCAGAGGAUCUGAAGCAGGCUCCAUACUGAUGGCAGAAAGCCCGAUGUGGGGCUCAAACUUACGAACCAUGAGACCAUGAUCUGAGCUGAAGUCGGACGCUUAACCGACUGAGCCACCCAGGGGCCCCUACAAAUUAUAUUUUCAAAUAAUUACUAGCCACAUGGAACAGGGUGCAAGAUAUAACAUUUAAAAUAUCAGAAUACAGAGGGUCACCUGCGUGGCUCAGUCGGUUGAGCGGUUGACGUUGGCUCAGGUCACAAUCUCGUGGUUCAUGAGUUCAAGCCCUGCGACAGGCUCCGUGUGGACAGCUCACGAGCCCGGAGCCUGCCUCACAUUUCAUGUCUCCCCCUCUCUCUACCCCUCCCCCACUCACUCUCUGUCUCUCCCGGUCUCUCAAAAUUGAAGAAAUGUUAAAAAAAUAUAUCAGAACACAGAAACGAUAUAAAAGUGUGAUAUGGUACCUAGAACGGAGAUCUGGGGCAGAGGUUCUUUCUCCGUUUUAUGUGGUUUUACCCCAACCAUGCUAUUUUGACUACACAGUCUUGCCUUCCCUAUGAAAACAUAUUCCUCACAAUCAUCUCUUUCAACUAAAUGACAGAUCAACCUGCAAUACAAUUAAAAUUCAACCACACUUGAAACACCCCAUGUUGAAAUAUAAAGAGUCAAUCUAAUCUUUGGGCAAGAAAGUUGGUAAGAAUAUCCAAAAUCACUGGGGCGCCCGGGUGGCUCGGUCGAUCAAGCGUCCGACUUUGGCUCGGGUCAUGAUCUCAUAGUCUGUGAGUUCGAGCCCCGCAUCCGGUUCUGUGCUGAUGGCUCGGAGCCUGGAGCCUGCUUCGGAUUCUGUCUCCUUCUCUCUCUGCCCCUCCCGUGCUUGUGCUCUCUCUCAAAAAUCAAUAAAUGUAAAAAAAAAAAAAAUUAAAUAAAAAAGAAUAUCCCAAAUCACUUGGCAGGUGGAUAAAACCAAGUCACUUAAAAUGAACUGACCACACUCCAGCACAGAGUGUAGCCUUUGCUCUAGUAACUAAUGAUAAUGAUCAGCAGAUGUGGAAGUCCUUGUGCUGCCCUAAAAUACAGUGCUGAGAGGUUCUUGUGUGUUUCCGGGGAGGGAGCUUCCUGGCUCGCCAAGCAGCCCGUUCUGUUCCCACACAACCUGGUAGUUCCCACAUGUCCUUCCCCAGGUGGGCCUGACUGUAGUCUCCUCCAAUGCCAUCAAGUUUCUGCACUCUGGGAGUCUACUCCCUCUUCUGCAGGAAAAGCUAUCACAUCAGUCCAUCUCAAAGGGACCUAAAACAUUGCCUAAUCCAAACCUUUCGUAAAAAAGAUUAGAGGGACGCCUGGGAGGUUCAGUCCGUUGAGCUUCUCACUCUUGGUUUUGCUCAGGUCAUGAUCUCAUGCAUUGUGCGUUCAAGCCGACCUUGGGCUCUGUGCUGACAGUGUGGAACCUGCUUGGGAUUCUCUCUCUCUCUCUCUCUCUCUCAAACUCUCUCAAAACAAAUAAACUUAAAAAGAAUCUUAAAAAAAAAAAAAAGAUUAGAAAACUUGGGUCCAGACCAAAGACAAAUACUGGCAAAAACAAAAACAAAAACAACAAACAAAGAAACAAAAACUAAAAUUAAUCUGAGGAUUUGAAGCCUCUUAUUUUUCAUACAAAACAUUCUGAGUUCUGUCAGCCACGGCUGAUGUUUCUGGACCUUUCUCACCCUAGCCUGUCCUGUACUCCAGAUUGACAUUAACCCUCUUAACAUGGGGUACCUGGGACAGAACAUCAUAUUUCAAAUGUGUAGUCUGAACAGUGAGAAGCAGGGCGAAAAUUAUUCGAUUCAGUCCGGAAGUGUUCAGUAAGCAGCUGUCACUUGUCAGGAGUCCUAUGGGCACAGUGACCAGUCGCUAGUUCUGCACUGUCCACUCUGGUAAUGACUUGCACAUGCGGUGACUUCAAUUUAAAUUCACUACAUUUAAAUAAAAUGAAAAGGUCAGCCACAUUUCGAGCGCUCAACAGCCAUUUGGCGAGGGGUGCCUCGUUGGACAGCACAGACCCAGAACAUGUCCAUCAUUGCAGAAGAGUUCUGUUGGGUAGCACCACACCAGAUAAUUCUUUUGACUAUUCCAGGUUCUCUGUAAAAAAAAAAAAACAAAAACAAAAACAAAAAAAAAGUGAAAGGUUGGGAGGCCUGGCUUCACUGCAUAGUGGGAAGCAAUCCAAGUAGCUAGUUGGAGAGGUAAUUGGAUGAAUAAAUGAAGGGGCAGCUGGGUAGAGACGUCGGUGGAGAAUCAGGUACGUGGAUUUCCUUUCUUCUGGGUGAUCUAUUAAUACAGAUUAAAAUUGAGUUCGCUCUCAGGGUCGCUGUGUCACAGCGUUGACAUUCUUUAUUUUGCUUCUUGCCUAAGCUCGAGGAGCUUGGAGGGUAUGUAACUGAGGGACAGAAAACAGGUUCAUAAAAUUCAGGAGAGAUUUCAUGUCCCCUAAGAGUAGGGGAGCCGUAAGAAUCAGGGUGGCCCAGGAGCGUCUGCGUGGCUCAGUCAGUUAAGUGUCUGACUCUUGAUCUCGGCUCAGGUCUUGAUCUCAGGGUUCUCGAGUUCAAGCCCCGCGUUGGGCUCCGCACUGAAUGCGAAGCCUACUUAAAAAAAAGAAAAGAAAAAGGAAUCACUGUGGCCUGGGUCCUACCUCCAGAAAUUCUGGUUUAACUAUUCAGGGGUACAGCCUGGCAUUGGGAUUGCAAAAUCUCCCCAGCGUUUGCCAAGAGCAGCCAGGGCUGAGAACAAUUGCCGUAAGCAACUUCUUCUCUCCGUGGAAAUCCCCUCCCGUAAUGUCCCUAUCAGGCAGCCACCCACCCUCUGCUUAGGCGUCUCUAGUUACAGUCUGCUCAGCACCUCACAUGUCAUUUGGGAUGAUCCCCCUCAAGCUCUUUGUUUCUUU